rnacentral:rRNA from 1 species
ACGGGGGGCUACGGGAGGCAGCAGUGGGGAAUAUUGCACAAUGGGCGAAAGCCUGAUGCAGCAACGCCGCGUGAGUGAUGAAGGUCUUCGGAUUGUAAAGCUCUGUCUUUUGGGACGAUAAUGACGGUACCAAAGGAGGAAGCCACGGCUAACUACGUGCCAGCAGCCGCGGUAAUA